UGCUCUGGGGAAAGUGGUGCAUUUGCGAGUGGAGUGCGCCGAGGUGGUCGGAACAGCGCCAUGAUCUCAGCUUUGAGGCCAGCCCUUCGGGGACUGGUACCCGGGCUGGGGGAUUGUUGUUUGCUCUGAUUAAACAGGGGAGUGGUUAUCGGGCUCGGUUGGGUGCCGAGCUGGCAGUCGGUGGCGGUCGCAUGCGACACGUGCCAGCGGUCAGUUCGGUCCUGGUCGAGCUCUCAAAACCCCGUCCUCGGUGUAAAAGCUGGUCAUCUGUCCGACCCGUCUUGAAACACGGACCAAGGAGUUUAGCGUGUGCGCGAGUCAUUGGGUGUUCAAAACUCAGAGGCGCAAUGAAAGUGAAGGUGUCCCUUGUGGAGCUGAUGUGUGACCGGGGCCACCGCGGUGGCUCCGAGCAACAUAGUCCCGUCCCGAUCGCAUGCGAUGGGGCGGAGACAGAGCGUACGCGCUGAGACCCGAAAGAUGGUGAACUAUUCCUGAGCAGGACGAAGCCAGAGGAAACUCUGGUGGAAGUCCGAAGCGAUUCUGACGUGCAAAUCGAUCGUCUGACUUGGGUAUAGGGGCGAAAGACUAAUCGAACC
rnacentral:rRNA from 1 species